AGCGCGUACCAUCCACUCACGCACCCACCCAUCCACCCACCCAUUCACCGUCCUUCCGUCCCUCCAUCCCUCCCUCUUUCCCUCAGCUGCUGUCCUUUACAGUGACUCUCGUAGGGCGGCUUGAGGCCAGUUCAUCUAUUGCAAUAGUCCCAGACUUAGAAGACGUUUCUUUUGAGACGAGAAUAACAGAAAUGGCAGCUUUUUAUUUUACCAAGUGGAAGGCAGGACGUUCACAGAAGGAGAUGUGAAGACAGAAGCAGAGAUCAGAUCGAUGCACCCACAAGCCAGGGAAUUCAGGCAGUCUCUAGAAGCUGGAAAAGACAAGGAAUGGAUUCUCUCCUAGAGCCUCCAGGAGGAAAGCAGCUCUGCCGAUACCUUGAUUAGCCCCAUAAGACCCAUUUCGGACUUCUGAUCUGCAGAAUAUGGAAUUGGUUAAAUACAGAUGAGGUCUGGAGAAGGGUGGCCCCUAAUCCAAUAUGACAGAUGCCCUUCUAAGAGGAGGAGAGACAGACACCAAGGACAAUGCCAUGCAAAGAUGGAGACAGGAA